GAUGAACGCUGGCGGCGUGCUUAACACAUGCAAGUCGAACGAAGCACUUUAUUUGAUUUCCUUCGGGACUGAUUAUUUUGUGACUGAGUGGCGGACGGGUGAGUAACGCGUGGGUAACCUGCCUUGUACAGGGGGAUAACAGUUGGAAACGGCUGCUAAUACCGCAUAAGCGCACAGCAUCGCAUGAUGCAGUGUGAAAAACUCCGGUGGUAUAAGAUGGACCCGCGUUGGAUUAGCUAGUUGGUGAGGUGACGGCCCACCAAGGCGACGAUCCAUAGCCGACCUGAGAGGGUGACCGGCCACAUUGGGACUGAGACACGGCCCAAACUCCUACGGGAGGCAGCAGUGGGGAAUAUUGCACAAUGGGCGAAAGCCUGAUGCAGCGACGCCGCGUGAGCGAAGAAGUAUUUCGGUAUGUAAAGCUCUAUCAGCAGGG
rnacentral:rRNA from 1 species